UGAUCAGCACGCCGCGUGGAGGAGAAGGCCUUCGGGUCGUAAACUCCUGUCAGGUGGGACGAAAACGCGGAGGGUCAAUAGCCCUCGCGGUUGACGGUACCGCCAGAGGAAGCCCCGGCUAACUCCGUGCCAGCAGCCGCGGUAAUACGGAGGGGGCGAGCGUUAUUCGGAAUUAUUGGGCGUAAAGGGCGCGCAGGCGGCCUGGCAAGUCUUGGGUGAAAUCCCUCGGCUCAACCGAGGAAUUGCCUUGGAUACUGCCGGGCUCGAGACCGGGAGGGGAUAGUGGAAUUCCCAGUGUAGCGGUGAAAUGCGUAGAUAUUGGGAGGAACACCAGUGGCGAAGGCGGCUAUCUGGACCGGUUCUGACGCUGAGGCGCGAAAGCGUGGGUAGCAAACAGGAUUAGAUACCCUGGUAGUCCACGCUGUAAACGAUGAGUGCUCGGUGCUGUGGGUAUCGACCCCUGCAGUGCCUUAGCUAACGCGUUAAGCACUCCGCCUGGGGAGUACGGUCGAAAGGCUGAAACUCAAG
rnacentral:rRNA from 1 species